AUCACUAUAUUAUUUAUUAAUAGUAUUAUUGUUUAGUUUAAUAAAAGUUUUAUUACUACUGUAUUAUAUACAAAUAUAUAUAAAAUACUUUCUUUCAUAUGUUAUAUAUAGUUUUGGAUUGACCGGCUGAGGACACAACUCUAAUUUGAAGAUACAAAGGAUGGUGUGCUACUCAGGCGGCUUGGGAACAAAAAAUUUUCAAGUCUGUAAGAUUAACUACGAUUAAUAACCUUUCUCGAAGCAGCUCGAAAAAAAAGAAUUAAGUUUCUUAGUGGUAUUGAUGUAUUAUCAGGAAGAAGUAAAUACGAGAGCUUAAUUAUCUUCAGCAAACUUUAAAGAGAGAUAUAGUUGAGCAGUUUACAAGGUGAGGAUCUAGAAAAAAGCAAGUUCAGAAAAUAAGCAGAGCGUAUCCUUAGAUUAAACUAGAUUCCCCAUAAGAAGUCAGAAAUGAAACUUGCCCCUUUUUGAGUAAAAUUAAGGGUGGUAGUAUUCGUCUUGCAUGGAAUAGUUAUGUUUUUUAAAGACAAGUUAAAGCGUAGGGUAUUUCAAGGGAAGUAUGACAAGCUUUUACAGGUAGGUUACCAGAAUUAACGAAGGAGUACGAGCGGAAUCAUGGAGAACUCAAAACCCGAAAUGAAAAACGCUUGCGAAGAGGAUAAACAAUUUAAACCAAAAGCAUAAAUGCAAUUGUGCGAUGAUUUUCCAGGCCCAAAUCGACAAGGUAUUGUUAAGCAUUAUACAUUUUCGACUGAAAAACUUAAUAUAAAAGCGAGGAACAGCAACAGCUUUAUAUUUAGAUAAUGCUUAAGAUCUUUAUCAGCGGGGUUAGAGAAAAAGAGUAAAUCAUAUUAUGCUUUCCAAUGCCGGACGGUGUAGGGUGCAAUGGACUGUAUUAUAUUACCUUCUGAUUAUGAAAUGCUCUAUUUGAAUACCAGAGGGCAUGGAAUUCGUAACAGCUGCCCUCAGAGACACAUGUUUAAAUGGAUGACUGCCUAAUCUGAUGAUGGGUCAUUUAAGGCUUUGCGCUUUUAUUUCCAGGUAUGGGAACUUUAACGUAAAACUAAGACUUAUGGAAUGUAUUUUUUUUAAAGAUCUCUGUAAAAUAGUAUAAAUAUAGGAUAAGUAAGAAAGGCUCUUGGAUGUGUGCGGAAAGGCUACAAGCCUUUAGUUACACUACCCUAAAAAACAAAAAAAAAUAUGCGGUUUGUUGCAGAUGUUGAACUAUAGGAGUAUUACAAACCGAACCACGCUGUAUUACUGGAGCCUUUAAACAGGUUACUUAGAGAAUAUAAAAGUGAUCUGGGGAGAUGUACAGAGGUCUGCUUGUGGGAAGGGUUUAAACAUUUUAGAAGCGAAAGUAUAUGUGGAACAAGUGAAAUCCAAUGAAGAUUAGACUAGUGCCUUUAACAGUAAAAUGUGUGAUCUUUACUUCAACGAUAUGGCGGCCAAUCAAAAGAAGCGGAGUAGAUGAGGUUGUAACGUAUGUUAUUUUAGUGCACUGACACUUUCUGCUCUAGUGACUGAAGCAUAAUAAAGAU